CUUAUGUGUGUUCGUACCAUUUCAUGGACGGGAAGGCGACUGACGAACACUUUUACACCGAGAAAUGGCUCGACUACGAUGUUCCGUUAAAGAGGUCACGCCGGGGGAUGAAAAGGUUGUCAGAUUCGGAUGUAUUGAUGACCGCCAGUGAUGCAGUGGACAGCUGUGAGGGUGAUCAGAUCCACAUGCCCCUGAUCUUGCUGAAAAUCACCAGAAGUUACCUGCUGUAAUAGAUAUUUUUAUGAACCUUUACAAUGUCACCAGAAGUUACCUGCUGUAAUAAGUUAUUUUUAUCAACCUUUACAGUGUCACCUGACAUUACCUGCUGUAAAUAUUUAUUUAUCUUAAUUUGAUCUUUUUUUUUUUUAUCUUUAAUCUCUGAUUUGAAGGAAUAAGUCAUGUCAAGUUUGCAAGUUAAUUCCAUCUUGGUUUAUUACAUAUGGAAAUUAAAUGUUGAAAUUUUAUAGGAUGGUCAGUAGAAGGUGUCUCUUGCUUCCUGAAAACAACAAACACUGAUCAACAAAUCACAAAUGAUUUUAUACAACUUAUAUUAAAUUAUCCAUGUAUUAAAAAACAAA